rnacentral:lncRNA from 1 species
CUCAUGUCAUAUGUGUGUGUGAAGAAGGGAGGGGCGGAGACAGGUUGGUGAAUAAGACAAAAGCUUUCCUCUUUCCCAAAGAUAUGGAAGACAUUUUCCAGAAACUGCACAGAAUUGAGAUGUAAAGGUUGUAAAGGAGACUGGGCUGUCUUCGGUCUUGUGUGUCCUUUUAAGAGCAAGGAAAAUCUCAUAAUUCUACCCCCAUCCCCAUUCCCAGCAGGCUUUCAUGACUCUUCAGCUUGAAAAACAUGACAUAUCCGUGCCAAGAACCAUCAGAGCAUAGGUGAUGGGAUUACCACGAUUGGCUAAGACUUACGAAGAUUCACGACCUGGGAUACAGAAUCUGUGAGCUGGCUGGAUGGCGAGAAUCUGAGCAAAAGCAGCCAGCAGGGAAAAAAUAGGACAGCUGAGCUCCUUGGGGCAGACAGGGCAGAGGUCUGUGUAGCAAUGAGCAGGUUCUGCCCCACUGGACAAGAAACGGAGACAUCUAGGACACUCUUCCCUGAGAUACUGCCGAUCCAUGGGAUGACUUCAGAAACUGGUGAGGCCGCCUCCAGCUUCUCCAGAGGAAAUAACGGCACUGACAUCAAGACGGGGGAAAAGAGACAAUAAUCAAAGAAGACACUUUGGUGGCAGCACCACAGGAAAAGCAAACCAUCUCUGUGCAUGAUCAUUAAAGACAGCGCUGAGGACUUCCUAAGGAUAGAUUCCAAGAAAUGAGAUCGCUGGCCCCACAAAUAGUCAGAGGGUCUACGUGAAGUCGUGCUGGUGACCCCAAGGUUCUACACCUACUGGAGAACAAGCUAAUGAGAUCAGGUGACAUCCACACAAGAGUUUUGAAAGAACUCAAAGUAUCAUUGAAUGUAAUGAUUUACUAUUACAAAGAAACACCGUACUUUAGGCCUGGCAGUUUGCCCUGAACAAAUAAAACUUUCUGAAGGGCACUCCA